rnacentral:rRNA from 1 species
UACGUAGGGUGCGAGCGUUAAUCGGAAUUACUGGGCGUAAAGCGUGCGCAGGCGGUGAGCUGUGUCCGAUGUGAAAGCCCCGGGCUUAACCUGGGAAUGGCAUUGGAAACUGGCUCGCUGGAGUGUGGCAGAGGGGGGUGGAAUUCCGCGUGUAGCAGUGAAAUGCGUAGAGAUGUGGAGGAAUACCGAUGGCGAAGGCAGCCCCUGGGAUAACACUCGACGCUCAUGCACGAAAGCGUGGGGAGCAAACAGG